rnacentral:rRNA from 1 species
UCGAGGAUCUUCGGCAAUGGGCGCAAGCCUGACCGAGCGACGCCGCGUGUGCGAUGAAGGCCUUCGGGUUGUAAAGCACUGUCGAGGGGGAGGAAGGCGAAAGCUUGACCUAUCCCUGGAGGAAGCACGGGCUAAGUUCGUGCCAGCAGCCGCGGUAAGACGAACCGUGCGAACGUUGUUCGGAAUCACUGGGCUUAAAGGGCGCGUAGGCGGGCAAGCAAGUCCGGGGUGAAAGCCCCCAGCUCAACUGGGGAAGUGCCUUGGAAACUGCUUGUCUUGAGGGAGGUAGGGGCCUGUGGAACUUCGGGUGGAGCGGUGAAAUGCGUUGAUAUCCGAAGGAACGCCGGUGGCGAAAGCGACGGGCUGGACCUCUUCUGACGCUGAGGCGCGAAAGCCAGGGGAGCAAACGGGAUUAGAUACCCCCGUAGUCC